UCUGGGAAACAGCAUUCAGCUUAGCUAAACAGACACAGCACAAAGCAACCACAGCGUGUGCAGCAAAGGUCGAGCAGCAAAUGGAGAGAGACAAUACUUGUAGCUGACCGCAGCUCAAGUGGAGUUUCUACGUUGAGACAGACUGAAGGAGGAUAUGAUGGAACUAAAAGGGGCCAGUGAAACUCUCCUAGUAAUCUUAGCCAGCCAGCUUGGAGCCCGGGGGAGCUUUUACUAACUCUUCUCUGCCUGUUCCUGCCGAUUUUCUACCUCCAUGGACCGGGGCAGCUCCAGGUGUGUGCAGAAAUCGGAUGGAUCUUCUCCCAGACUGCUCCUGGGUUUCUGUGUCCUGAAAGCUCCAGGUAAUAUCUGGAAUAAGGAGACACCGAAUAGCAUCCACAUAUUGUUGAACCCAGCAAGUACACUGGCCUCCUUCAACAGCUGUCUCAACCCAAUACUCUGUGUCUUCCUUGGUCAAGAAUUUAGAGAGAAACUGAUACAUUCCCUGUCUGCCAGUCUGGAGAGGGCCCUGCGAGAAGACUCAGUCCUGAGCACUUGGCAAAAGCAGCAACUUUUCUUCAUGUCCUGCAGAUUCUGAACUAUAGAAAAUGGUAGCUGCAAGUCCAGUGGAAUGCUUCCUGUGCUACUGUAUUCUCACUCUCUCAUGCUACCUUGCAUUAUAUUUUUUAAUAUUAAUUUUAAAAUCAUUUUUGUCCUUCAGUUUGUAAAAAUUUAAUGAAAAUAAAAACUAGUACCAUACAUUA
rnacentral:sRNA from 1 species